GCCCCCAUCGUCUAGUGGACUAGGACACUGGCCUUUCAAGCCGGCAACAGCGAUUCGAAUUCGCUUGGGGGCGCCA
rnacentral:tRNA from 1 species